AAAGCAAAAAAACAACAAAAAACGAAAAACAAAACAUAAACAAACCCAAAAGCAAAAAAAAAAACAAAAACGAAACAAAAACGAAAAUAAAAAACAAUAGCUCAAUGCACGGUACGAGGGGAGCAUUUAAAUGUUCGCGGCAGAGUAGGGGGCACUGAACGCACCACCUCACGUGGUCUCAUUGGGUCUCACGCGGGAAGCGGAUGUAAACAAAACAGUGGGGGAAAAAACAACUUGCUGUAAAAAUAAACCUAAUUACACCAUGCUCCAGUCCAAGGAGAUGUCAGUGCACCUGCAGAGGAGGAGGAGAAGAAGAAGACGAAGAAGAACGAAGAAGUAGAAGAGCUAGAGGUAGCUUUGUUUUCCUGUACAGUGAAAUAAAUAAAAUGCUGUGGAUGAGAAAAUGUUUGGGGAGGUGCACUCAACACUGGAUGCCUAUUCUUCAGGGAGAAGUGGAGAACAUGCCACCAUGUCUGUCGAGGAAACCCAAAAGGGCUGAGUCAGAGAUCCCAUCUCUUCCGGAGGCUGGGCCAGAAGCGUUCUCCUUUGAAAGGCAACAUGGAAAGAUCAACGGGCAUCUCCUUAGGGAGCCGCUGCGCCAUGCUGUGCUGCUGCCCAAUGGCCAAACAGCCCUGAGGCCUGUAGUCUGCUGCUCGGUUAGUCCGCGUUGUUUACUUUGGGAGGACUUUCAACCCUGUGCUGCCAACAAGAUCUGCAUUCUGUCUGUGUGUUUGUCUGCCUCAAUCAUUCCCAUCUCUUUCCAGCUUUUGACCACUUUUUUUUUUUUUUUUUUUUUAAACACAAUUCUACUCCUGUGACAAGCAUCUCUCACCAUCGCUUUCCACCACUCUCACAGAUAAUAACUGUCAGCCUGAAUGUAUGUGACCCUCAGCUCGGGGAGCAGCUAUCCAGAUGAGAGCGCAGGGAGGAUUUCUGCGCUGUUGUGUUUAUAUUUCCUCCCCUCGUAGCACCAUGGAUACCAGUCAGACAGUGCCAAGGUAGGACCACCUCAUAAAUUCAGAAACCUAUAAAUAUUUGCCCGUGUUUUGAGUUCAACACUAGCUUGCAUUUACAUAUCUAAGGGUGGUUUUUGCAAUUUAUCUGCUCGGGAGCUCAAGAACAUAAAGCCCGGUGGUCUCCCACCAACAGAUAAACACGCGCAGAACUUUUCCAUUUCUUUAUGUUCAGGUAGAGUUGGCGACUAACGUGAAAACAAAUCGAGCUUCAGGACGGACCACCAAUAGUCUAAUGUCAUCUCUCAAAUAUUAAACGAGAAAAAUAGGUGCAAUAACAAGGUUCACCUCCAAACUGUGGAUGUGGCUGCUAUGCAGUGUAGCACAUUCCUCCACACUCAAUAAACCUAGCUAAAUCAAUAUGUCAAAGAGCAGACAGAUAACGCUAAUCCUGUGCAUAAAUCUUAACCAUCUCUAAAAUCUUUUCAUGUGGUAUUACUCACAGGCCAUAUUCUCUUAAGUACAGUAAACAUUGUGACAGGUACUUUGAGCUGUUCUUUCAAGAGGACACGGGAAAGUGGAUUGUGCUCUAAGCCACCGGGGGCCACUAGAAAAGGAAACUCUGGAGUAAAAACCAUGUCAGGGAGAAUAAAUGCUUGCUUUAAUGAAACGUAGGCAGAGCGUAGAAGCACACCACCCAGAAAUCCUAAAGCAUAUUCUUUUUUUCUUUUUUUUUUAUCAUCUUGCAACACAUUUAGGUACACAUCUGAAUUUAUCCACCUCCUCCUCCCCCUCCUCCGAGAGACAUCUGAGAAAAUAAAACUCUUGAGGUUUCGAUCGGCCAAGGAGAAACGGGGAGUUAAGGCAGAGAUGUGAAUGACUCAAGCAAAAACACGGUUCUUUCCAUGACUGCCAAACACUGAUGCUCUCUCCCCCUCUUUUUUUUUUUUAAAAACAAGCUGUAAAUUUAUUUUUUUUAUUUUUUUGCAUCACCAAAACAAUUCAUUGGACUGAAUUUAAAUAAAAAUAAUUUCUCUUAAUGUUCCAAAGGAAAAAAUAAAAUAAAAUAAAACAUGACCAAAAAACCAAACCAAAAAAAAAAACGAAAAAAAAAACAUAUUUUAAAAAAAUAAAUAAAUCCAGAACUGUGAAUGUCAUGCUCUUUUUAGACGAAGCAGGUUGUUGUGGGGGGAAUAAAAGGAGAAAGAAGGAAAAGAAAAGGAACCUCCUCUUCCUUCGUAGAUUUACAUGUAACUCAUCAGGCUGCCUUCGGGUCUCGGCAUGGAUGACGUUCGACCCCGAAAUUGCUUCUUAAAUCUCCCACACCGUUGCCGAAGCCACAGACGAGACAAAUCAAAAUCCUUCUCAAAUUCUGAACUGACGCGUGAGGUCGUCUUUUUUUUUUUUUAAAAGAACACAUACAAUCGGUUUUCCUCGUGAUCGUCACAGUCACCCAAGUAGUGUGAAUUUGUUCGGAGGUGACCUCACCGUUCACUUCAUCUGAUUUUGGUUUAAGAUGAUGCAAUGAUACAUGUUGUGAAAGACAUACAGUUCAUAGUGAGUCAGCUUGGUGCAGCCUCUCCUGCAGCUUAUAUAUUAAAACAUAAAGGUCAGUGUCCCUACAGCUACUCUGGGUGUGCUUUGUUCAAACAAACCAUCCAACUGCUUUACAUGUUAAAAAAAAAAAAAAAAAAGCCUCUUUUGUAGCCUCUGCUAUGAGAAUAGUACCUUGAUGCUAACCAACAGCUGACAUAUAAAAUAAUUAGUCUGAAGGAGUCGAUUAUUUGCAAAAAACAAAAACAAUUUAGUAAAUGAUCAAAAAGAAAAGAAAACACUAUAUGACACAGUCAUUUAUACCCUGUUUAAACCAAACUAGUUUCAGUCAAAUACAGUAAGAGCUUUCAGUGGAAAACAUGUGCAGAUUCAACACUACUGUAUACUACUAACACUCAAAAAAGAGAAAAAAAAAUGGAAAAGAAGACAUCAGAAUGGUUUAACUUCUACUCUAUAUUGAUAUCUUUAUUAACAAUCAUAGCCAUGUUUUCAACAAUGGAAGAUUUAUAAAUAUUCUUUUUUUUGCUUUUUUUUUUGAUUCAUAAAAGUUGUCUCGGCACUUAUGGUAUGAUUCCAGUUGUGGGGAAAAAUAAAAAAAAUCUAAAUGUCCUCAAAGAGUAUAGCGCCGUAUAAAGCACUGAUAUCCAAUCAACAGCCUUUUUUUUUUUUUUUUUUUUU